AAUACUACUGCCGUGAUACCAACACCACAAAAAAAGCUAGUUACAAUAAAAGUAAUUAUACGGCAACUUCAUCUACAACUUACCAUACUGUCAACGAAACGUCGAAAAUGUGGGAAAAGUGUAUGAAUAGCUAUCACAGUUUACGGUGUAUAUUAUAAUGAUUGAAUCAUGCAAUCAUGUGGCCGAUGAGACACGAAACCAUGACCCGCGAUGAAUGCAGAAAAUGUUUACGAUGUUUGGAGUUAGAAGCUUAUGGAAAUAUGGUGUCUGUCUUACGUGCUCAAGGUCCUUUCACUAGUGAAAAACAUAAAUUGCUACAAGAACUUGCUAAAGUUUUACAUAUUUCUAAUGAACGACAUCGUGCUGAAGUACGAAGAGCUGUUAAUGAUGAAAAAUUAGCAACAAUAGCUGAGCAGUUAAGUGGUCCAAAUACUGGUACUGAUUGGACUAUUGAAGGCCGACGUGCUAUUCCACUUUUACCAAGAUUAAAGGCUCGAUCUGCAUUUACAACUUUAGCAAAUAGCUUGUCCCUUGCAACAGUAGCAGCAAACAAAAGGAAUCUUCAUGUUCAUGAGAUAGCAGAGGAUGCAAAAGAUAUUACAAAUGAAUCUCCUGUGAAGGUAAAAGUACAAGAAAACUCGUUUAGCAAUCAUGAGUUUGCAUCUAGUGAAGAUAAAUUAAGCGAUGAAAAUGUUCUAACUGAGGUCACUGAAUCAGAUAGGAAUAAAGAAGUUAAUAAUCACAGCAAUACCUCUGAUAGCAGUGAAAAAUAUAUUAUACCUGAGAAACGUAAACCCUCUUCUCCUCUCUCACCAGCACCUCCAAACAAGGUUUUGGUAGUAUCUUCAAGUUCAAUAGGAACUUUUAAUCAUGGUACUGCUGAUAAAGGAUCGCUAGAAAAUACUAUUCAUUUGUCACGAAUAUCUACAAAUUCGUUACAGCAUCAAAAUGUCACUAUAAUACCAUUAAAUAUUAAUUGUGGAGAAAAUAUUACAGAAUCUAAGGAAUCAGUAGUACAAGAAAGUGCCAGUAACCAUUCAGUAAUUCCACCUGGUAAUUUUGUGAAUACAGUAAUCCCAGUAGGUACAAAUAUUACAAAAACUAAAGGAAGAGUAAUUACAACGCAAAAUAAGCUUAAUACAAAAAUCGGAUCUGCAAUUUUGGUGUCCGGUAAUGUGUCAUGUACAACAGGAAAUAAAUUUCAGCCUGAUGUUCAAGAUAUAUCUACACAAGAUAGUUUAAGUCCAAAAGUAUCCGUAUCUCAUACUUUACAAAAACCAUCAAGUUCAGAAAAUUCGAAUUCAGUUACAAGCAGCACAAAGUGCAUUGUGCCAGUAAUACAUUCUAACAUAAAACCUCCAAUACCUAAAACUAUUACCUCCAGUAAUUCACAUCGACUGAUGGCUGUUUGUCCUGUUACAACAGUAUCUAAUGGACCAGGGCCACCUCAGGCUAAGCAAAUAACAACGUUAACUUGUAAAAAAUUAUCUUCAACGCUCAACAAUCAAACCACUGCCAAGGGUGUUACACUAAAUUCUAAUAAAACUGUAAAUAUAUCUCACCAUCCUGAUACAAAAUUAGGAUCUAAAACAAACGUGAUUGUUAUACAAAAGGGUCAAACCAAAGGUGUUACUCUCUCUCAAGCAGGCAAGGAAGUAUUAGGGAAAGUAAUAAUGGGUGGGAAAAGUUUGUGUGUUACGAGUCAACACAAUGCUCCUAUUAAUAUGGUUCAGCGCCAUGUUACAUUGAAUAAUGGAGAUCAAGGUCUAACUAUGCUAUCCACAACAAACUCAUCUCAUACAGAAUCUAUAACACCUAAUGUAAAGUCUGGUAAUACUAUUAUGUUCAAUCUUCGGCAGGAUGUUUUGGAAAAAAAUAAAGCACUCUCUCAUCUUCUUGAAUCAUCUCAUGUUCUUACCUCUGAAUCUAAGACUGUGAUACAAAAUACUAAUGCUCUUCUUUCAAAGGAACCAAGUAACAGUGAUUUACAUGUACAGGAUAAAGAGCUAGUUGUAAAAACCGAUGGUGUAAUUACUACUGUUAAAGAUGAGAAACACAGGAAAGUAAAAAUAUAUAUGCAAAUGCAAAUUUUUAUUUAACGAAUUAUAUAUGGAUCCUCUGAAACAUUCAAAAAGUAAACAAAUAUUUUCAAAUUCAAACUACAAUAUAAAUACAUAAGCUGCCCAAGGUAUUCGGAUUCUUAGAAGAUGUUAGUAGUAUCUUAUUUAACGUAAAAUCUUCUGUGUGACCAUGGAAACUGAUAUUGCAUAUUUUUUAUUGUUGCAGCCAAAUCGAAUACGCAUCGCAAUUAUAUAUAUAUAUGUUAAAUAGAGAAAUUUAUAAUUCUGACACUUGCUCACGCUUUGUAUCAUUAAAAUAAUGUAUAUGUAAGAUAUAAACAGAAUCUUUCAAGAGCCAAGUACAUAGAAUGAUAAUCAAACUUUAUAUGCAUAUAUAUACAUAUAAAUCGUAGUUGUUUCUUAUGAAUUCCAAAACGGUUCUAUUGAUUCUGAUUUUAGGACUUUAAGUUAAUCUAAUACAUAGAAAUAGAAAUUUAAAAUAUUGAUAAACAUGUAUAUAGACUUUGUUAAAAAUAAGAAAAGCUUUCAUUUCAUUCAAAAAAGGAAAUAUGAUGAUACAGUUCUAAAUGAUGAACAAUUUAUAUACAUAUAAGUACAGACAAGGCACAGAACUGUAUCUUGUCUUUCAAAAAAUAAAAAUAUUCAUUUAAUGUUGUUGUAGAUAUACAUAUAUGUAACUUUAGAACUCGGCUAUUCCAAGACUAAUAUUGGUAUUGAAAGUAUUAAAUCUGUGCAAAAAAAUAAAGAAUUUUUAUAAGUUUUAAUUCA